UAAUUCAAUUUAACUUAAUUUUAUAAAAUUAUUUUUUUUAUAUAUUAAUUUUAUUAUUAAAAUAAAUAAAUUUAUUUUUAUUAUUUUUUAAGAAAAAAUUUUUUAAAUUAUAGUUUAUUAGUACUGUGAAGGAAAUUUGAAAUAAUUGAAAAAUUAAAAUAUUUAAAGAAAAAUUUAUUUUUUGUACCUUGUGCAUCAGGGUUUAUUAAUUAAAAUUUAAUUAAUUUAAAUUUCUCGAAUUUAAAAGAGCUAAUAUAAUAUAAAUUUUAUUGUAUCAUAAAUAUUUAAAAUAUUAUAUUAGUAAUGAAACGUUAAUCGUUUUUAAAUAUAUCUAGUUUUUAAAGAAAUAAAUUUAAUUUAUUAUUAUAAAUUAAUUUUGUAUAUUUUUAUAUUUAAAAUUAUUUAUAAUUAAAUUUUUAAAGGGAUUAGCUUUUAAAAAUAUUUUAUAUAAAUUUAUUUAUUUAUUAAUAAUAUGUAUUAUUAGAAUUUUAAAUCAUUAAAAAAAUGUUAUAAUUGAUUAUUAAUAUAAUAUUAUUUUUAUAAAUUUUAUAUUUUUUAUUUAAAUAUUAAUUUUAAUUUAAAAAAUUAAGUAAUAAUGAUAAAAUUAGUAUAUUUGUUUAUAUAAAUAAAUUUAAUUUUGAAUUUAAUUUAAAGAAUUCGGCAAAAUUAUUUUUCACCUGUUUAAUAAAAACAUGUCUUUUUGAUAAUAAUUUAAAGUCUAACCUGCCCAAUGAAAAUUUGAAUGGCUGCGAUAUUUUGAUCGUACUAAGGUAGCAUAAUCAUUAGUUUCUUAAUUAGAAGCUGGAAUGAAUGGUUGAAUGAGAAAAUAACUGUUUCAAAUUUAUUUAUAGAAUUUUAUUUUUAAGUUAAAAAGCUUAAAUAUUUUUAAAAGACGAGAAGACCCUAUAGAGUUUUAUAUUAAAAUAUUAUAAUUUAUUAAGAUUUAUUUAUUUUUUAUUAUUAUUAAUAUUUAAUUGGGGUGAUUAAAAAAUUUAAAUAACUUUUUUUUUAUUUUAACAUUAAUUUAUGAAUUUUUGAUCCAAUAUUUUUGAUUAUAAGAUUAAAUUACCUUAGGGAUAACAGCGUAAUUUUUCUUUAGAGUUCUUAUCGAAAGAAAAGUUUGCGACCUCGAUGUUGGAUUAAAAUUAAUAUUUGGCGUAAAAGUUAAAUUAUUAAGUCUGUUCGACUUUUAAAAUUUUACAUGAUCUGAGUUUAGACCGGUGUGAGCCAGGUCGGUUUCUAUCUUUAAUAAUUAUAUAAAUUUUAGUACGAAAGGACCAAAUUUAUAAUUUAUAAUUUGUUUAUUUGAAUAAAAUUGUUAUUUUGGCAGAAUAGUGCAAUAGAUUUAGAAUCUUUAUAUGUAAUU
rnacentral:rRNA from 1 species